rnacentral:rRNA from 1 species
GUUUGAUCCUGGCUCAGAUUGAACGCUGGCGGCAUGCCUUACACAUGCAAGUCGAACGGCAGCACGGAGCUUGCUCUGGUGGCGAGUGGCGAACGGGUGAGUAAUAUAUCGGAACGUACCCUAGAGUGGGGGAUAACGUAGCGAAAGUUACGCUAAUACCGCAUACGAUCUAAGGAUGAAAGUGGGGGAUCGCAAGACCUCAUGCUCGUGGAGCGGCCGAUAUCUGAUUAGCUAGUUGGUAGGGUAAAAGCCUACCAAGGCAUCGAUCAGUAGCUGGUCUGAGAGGACGACCAGCCACACUGGAACUGAGACACGGUCCAGACUCCUACGGGAGGCAGCAGUGGGGAAUUUUGGACAAUGGGCGAAAGCCUGAUCCAGCAAUGCCGCGUGAGUGAAGAAGGCCUUCGGGUUGUAAAGCUCUUUUGUUCAGGGAAGAAACGGUGAGAGCUUAAUAU